CGCGCAGGCGGUACGUUAAGUCCAAGGUGAAAUCCCACGGCUCAACUGUGGGGGGACCCUGGAUACUGGCGUGCUGGAGUGCGGGAGAGGGAAGCGGAAUUCCACGUGUAACGGUGAAAUGUAUAGAUAUGUGGAGGAACACCGGUGGCGAAGGCGGCUUCCUGGACCGUAACUGACGCUGAGGCGCGAAAGCUGGGGGAGCGAACA
rnacentral:rRNA from 1 species